rnacentral:lncRNA from 1 species
AACAUUUCUCUCAUUUCCAGAGAGUUCCAAACGCUCUGUCUUCUCUCUUCUUUCUCUCUCUAUAUUUUCUAUGAUUUCUCGGUCAAAUAUCAAUGUUUACAUGGUAUCAGAGCCGAGACGACGAUCCGAUCAUGUUUCUCUAUAUCUCGUUGUCUUGGUUGAACUCUUUUCUGAGAUUUUUUGGGGAUUUUUCUGAGACCUUAUGUUCGAUGAUGCUUCUGACCUAAAUCAGAUGCUUUUCGGAGUUUUUCGUCAUGAUAUCUGAGUGUAUUUUCUUCACCCGAACAUUCUGAGAGUUUUUCUGCUGAUUUUGGGUGGUUUCUCGGUGACCUAUCGGCUUCUAGGGUUUCUGGUGGUUNNNNN